AGAGUUUGAUCCUGGCUCAGAUUGAACGCUGGCGGCAUGCUUUACACAUGCAAGUCGAACGGUAACAGGUCUUCGGAUGCUGACGAGUGGCGAACGGGUGAGUAAUACAUCGGAACGUGCCUAGUAGUGGGGGAUAACUACUCGAAAGAGUAGCUAAUACCGCAUGAGAUCUACGGAUGAAAGCAGGGGACCUUCGGGCCUUGUGCUACUAGAGCGGCUGAUGGCAGAUUAGGUAGUUGGUGGGGUAAAGGCUUACCAAGCCUGCGAUCUGUAGCUGGUCUGAGAGGACGACCAGCCACACUGGGACUGAGACACGGCCCAGACUCCUACGGGAGGCAGCAGUGGGGAAUUUUGGACAAUGGGCGAAAGCCUGAUCCAGCAAUGCCGCGUGCAGGAUGAAGGCCCUCGGGUUGUAAACUGCUUUUGUACGGAACGAAAAGCCUGGGGCUAAUAUCCCCGGGUCAUGACGGUACCGUAAGAAUAAGCACCGGCUAACUACGUGCCAGCAGCCGCGGUAAUACGUAGGGUGCAAAGCGUUAAUCGGAAUUACUGGGCGUAAAGCGUGCGCAGGCGGUUUUGUAAAGACCAGUGGUGAAAUCCCCGGGCUCAACCUGGGAACUGCCAUUGUGACUGCAAGGCUAGAGUGCGGCAGAGGGGGAUGGAAUUCCGCGUGUAGCAGUGAAA
rnacentral:rRNA from 1 species